rnacentral:rRNA from 1 species
GAGUUUGAUCCUGGCUCAGGACGAACGCUGGCGGCGUGCCUAACACAUGCAAGUCGAGCGAGUGGAGUUCUUCGGAACAAAGCUAGCGGCGGACGGGUGAGUAACACGUGGGCAACCUGCCUCAUAGAGGGGAAUAGCCUUCCGAAAGGGAGAUUAAUACCGCAUAAGAUUGUAGCUUCGCAUGAAGUAGCAAUUAAAGGAGCAAUCCGCUAUGAGAUGGGCCCGCGGCGCAUUAGCUAGUUGGUGAGGUAACGGCUCACCAAGGCGACGAUGCGUAGCCGACCUGAGAGGGUGAUCGGCCACAUUGGGACUGAGACACGGCCCAGACUCCUACGGGAGGCAGCAGUGGGGAAUAUUGCACAAUGGGGGAAACCCUGAUGCAGCAACGCCGCGUGAGUGAUGACGGCCUUCGGGUUGUAAAGCUCUGUCUUCAGGGACGAUAAUGACGGUACCUGAGGAGGAAGCCACGGCUAGCUACGUGCCAGCAGCCGCGGUAAUACGUAGGUGGCGAGCGUUGUCCGGAUUUACUGGGCGUAAAGGGAGCGUAGGCGGACUUUUAAGUGAGAUGUGAAAUACUCGGGCUCAACUUGAGUGCUGCAUUUCAAACUGGAAGUCUAGAGUGCAGGAGAGGAGAAUGGAAUUCCUAGUGUAGCGGUGA